UACGGGGGGGGCAAGCGUUGUUCGGAAUUACUGGGCGUAAAGGGUUCGUAGGUGGCUUGUUAAGUCAGACGUGAAAUCCCUCGGCUCAACCGGGGAACUGCGUCUGAGACUGAUGAGCUCGAGUGCAGGAGAGGAACGCGGAAUUCCAGGUGUAGCGGUGAAAUGCGUAGAUAUCUGGAGGAACACCAGCGGCGAAGGCGGCGCUCUGGGCUGGAACUGACGCUGAGGAGCGAAAGCGUGGGGAGCGAACAGG
rnacentral:rRNA from 1 species